rnacentral:rRNA from 1 species
UAAGCAUAUCAAUAAGCGGAGGAAAAGAAACCAACAGGGAUUGCCCCAGUAACGGCGAGUGAAGCGGCAACAGCUCAAAUUUGAAAUCUGGCCCCAGGCCCGAGUUGUAAUUUGCAGAGGAUGCUUUUGGCGCGGUGCCUUCCGAGUUCCCUGGAACGGGACGCCAUAGAGGGUGAGAGCCCCGUACGGUUGGACACCAAGCCUUUGUAAAGCUCCUUCGACGAGUCGAGUAGUUUGGGAAUGCUGCUCUAAAUGGGAGGUACAUUUCUUCUAAAGCUAAAUAUUGGCCAGAGACCGAUAGCGCACAAGUAGAGUGAUCGAAAGAUGAAAAGCACUUUGAAAAGAGGGUUAAACAGCACGUGAAAUUGUUAAAAGGGAAGCGCUUGUGACCAGACUUGCGUCCGGUGAAUCACCCAGCUCUCGCGGCUGGGGCACUUCGCCGGCACAGGCCAGCAUCAGCUUGCCGUCGGGGACAAAAGCUUCAGGAACGUAGCUCCUCUCGGGGAGUGUUAUAGCCUGUUGUAUAAUACCCUUCGGCGGGCUGAGGUACGCGCUCCGCAAGGAUGCUGGCGUAAUGGUCAUCAGCGACCCGUCUUGAAACACGGACCAAGGAGUCAACCUUAUGUGCGAGUGUUUGGGUGUUAAACCCCUACGCGUAAUGAAAGUGAACGCAGGUGAGAGCUUCGGCGCAUCAUCGACCGAUCCUGAUGUUCUCGGAUGGAUUUGAGUAAGAGCAUAUAGGGUUGGACCCGAAAGAAGGUGAACUAUGCGUGUGUAGGGUGAAGCCAGAGGAAACUCUGGUGGAGGCUCGCAGCGGUUCUGACGUGCAAAUCGAUCGUCAAACAUGCGCAUGGGGGGCGAAAGACUAAUCGAACCUUCUAGUAGCUGGUUUCCGCCGAAG